GAGGGUAUAGCUCAGUGGUAGAGUGCGUGCUUAGCAUGCAUGAGGCCCUGAGUUCAAUCCCUAGUACCUGCA
rnacentral:tRNA from 1 species